GCGACUCCCGAACGAAGCCGGUUACCCACGAAAAGUAAGGUCAUUCGCAACAUGGCGGCAAGCGAGGCAAGACGUGAAGCGGUUUCUCCCAAUUUCCACAGGUUUUCGUCAUUCUAUAACGUUAUCGAAUCGCAGUUCUUUGAUUGACAGUUGGCGAGUGGCGUUCUUCCUAACCCACCAUCGGCUUGAACGGCGGGUAAAGAUUACAAACAGUUCUCCGUUUUCCAAUGAGCCACGGUCAAACAGGACGCCUAUUUAGAUGAACACAUCUGGUAUAUCGUUGUACAACUGAUAAUGUUAAACCCGAAGAACUCGAACCGCGUGAAGAAGUAGGAGGAGAAAAAUGGAAGAGGAUGCGGGGACGAUGGGAAGCAAAGCGGAGCGCAAAAACGAAGGCGAACAGCGCGAGAAGCGAGUACAUACAUAGAGGAAUGCGAUAUUAAGUUGACUUCAAGGAGUCUCUCGCACACGCCGAUUCCUGUAUCCACUGAAAGAUAUCUAGUUUGGAAUUACUCUGAAACGAACGAAAUCCUCGAAAACCUUUCGUAGCACGCAUCAAAAGAGUAGGAGAAAGAAAUCAAAAUAUUACUGCGAAGACUAUGAAGCUGGGGCUGUGUAUAGACGACUGCUUUUAGAUCCAUCACACGAAACUUGAUUUCUAAGGCAGCCGAGCAAUACUUGCACGUCGAUGGUUGCCGUAGUCGAGACGAUUUCGCCGAGGACGACGGGUAAAUGAGAGGACGUAGAAGCGAAGCAAACGGGAAAGACCUCUGGAUGAAACUGCGGAGACGCCAAUAACUCGCGUACCACUAAUUCUACCGUGGUACACGAGGUUUGGACAUGAGCAUGACGUCGCAUCUCGAGGGGUAACCGCAGCCACAGGCGAAAUCAUUGUCCAACGAGGUACAGGCGGCUCUCGUGGGAAUUCGAGUCAAUAAUUUUGCUCUCGUUGCUAAAUCUCUCAAUUUUAAGGUUAUGGGGGGGACUUAUAGGUAGAAGUAGCGCAACCCCGAAUCUCGGGAGUGUAUGCAUGCAUUACCGUUGAUACGAGAGAUGUUUGAGCGCGUGAAUCGUAUAGCUGAGUGCGAAUGACAACUGUUUGAAACGAAGUGAAUGAGAUCGAGUGGAUAUUUAGUCAAUUCUUGGCAUAAUGCAACAACGUUAGCUGGAAUUUAUCUCUAAAUAUCAACUUCAUCCUAAAAAUAGUACUCAUCAAUGCUUUAAUUUUCCAAUAAUUUCUCACAAUUUUCCUUUCAUUUCCUCUACAUUUUUCCAUAAAUUUCCAUUCAUUUCCCUUUCAUUUUUCGUACACUUUCCCUUAAUUUUCUCCCUCAUUUUCUAUAACAUUUCCCUUCAUUUCCUGGCAUAUUUCUCUUUAAUUUACCUCAAUUUCUUGGUAUCAUCAUCUUUAAAUUUCCCCCUCUCAAAUUGCAAUAUUGUAGGAAGUUUGAGCGAAGACAAGUUCAACAAUCUUGCGCAACGUACCCCUCAAACAAUAAAAAAUAGUGAGGCUCGAUUUCAACAAAGUUGCAUUUCAAAAGUUUGGAGUCCAGGCGAUUUUUCAUAUUCUUCAUAUAUAAUAUAUUAUAUACUCAUACACAAUAAAUACAUACAUAUACAAGAUCAAGAUUCUAACUUUUGCCGUAACAGUUUUAAACUCAAUUUUUCUUGAAAUUUUCUGUAUCAUUACUCUACAUGUUUU